rnacentral:rRNA from 1 species
UUUCGCAAUGCCCGAAAGGGUGACGAAGCGACGCCGCGUGUGGGAAGAAGGCCUUCGGGUUGUAAACCGCUGUCGGGAGUUAAGAAAUGUAAGGAUGUUAAUAGCGUCUUUGCUUGACUAAGGCUCCGGAGGAAGCCACGGCUAACUCUGUGCCAGCAGCCGCGGUAAUACAGAGGCGGCAAGCGUUGUUCGGAAUUAUUGGGCGUAAAGAGCACGUAGGCGGCCGUGUAAGUCGGUUGUGAAAGCCUUCCGCUCAACGGGAGAACGGCAUCCGAUACUGCAUGGCUUGAGUGCGGGAGGGGAGAGUGGAACUUCUGGUGGAGCGGUGAAAUGCGUAGAUAUCAGAAGGAACACCGGCGGCGAAGGCGACUCUCUGGCCCGUAACUGACGCUGAGUGUGCGAAAGCUAGGGGAGCAAACGGGAUUAGAUACCCCGGUAGUCCUAGCCGUAAACGAUGGGCACUAAGUAGAGGGGUUUU